rnacentral:rRNA from 1 species
UACGUAGGGUGCGAGCGUUGUCCGGAAUUACUGGGCGUAAAGAGCUCGUAGGUGGUUUGUCGCGUUGUCCGUGAAAACUCACAGCUCAACUGUGGGCGUGCGGGCGAUACGGGCAGACUGGAGUACUGCAGGGGAGACUGGAAUUCCUGGUGUAGCGGUGGAAUGCGCAGAUAUCAGGAGGAACACCGGUGGCGAAGGCGGUUCUCUGGGCAUUACCUGACGCUGAGGAGCGAAAGUGUGGGGAGCGAACAGG